rnacentral:rRNA from 1 species
GACGAACGCUGGCGGCGUGCCUAAUACAUGCAAGUCGAACGAGAGCGACCGGUGCUUGCACUGGUCAAUCUAGUGGCGAACGGGUGAGUAACACGUGGGUAACCUGCCCAUCAGAGGGGGAUAACAUCCGGAAACGGAUGCUAAAACCGCAUAGGUCUUCGAACCGCAUGGUUUGAAGAGGAAAAGAGGCGCAAGCUUCUGCUGAUGGAUGGACCCGCGGUGCAUUAGCUAGUUGGUGGGGUAACGGCUCACCAAGGCCGUGAUGCAUAGCCGACCUGAGAGGGUGAUCGGCCACAUUGGGACUGAGACACGGCCCAAACUCCUACGGGAGGCAGCAGUAGGGAAUCUUCCGCAAUGGACGCAAGUCUGACGGAGCAACGCCGCGUGAGUGAAGAAGGUUUUCGGAUCGUAAAACUCUGUUGUUAGAGAAGAACAAGUGCUAGAGUAACUGUUAGCGCCUUGACGGUAUCUAACCAGAAAGCCACGGCUAACUACGUG